GAUGAACGCUGGCGGCGUGCUUAACACAUGCAAGUCGAACGGUGAACGAGGGAGCUUGCUCCCUCCGGAUCAGUGGCGAACGGGUGAGUAACACGUGAGCAAUCUGCCCUGGACUCUGGGAUAAGCGUUGGAAACGACGUCUAAUACCGGAUACGAGGCGUGGGGGCAUCCCCAACGCCUGGAAAGAACUUCGGUCCAGGAUGAGCUCGCGGCCUAUCAGGUAGUUGGUGAGGUAACGGCUCACCAAGCCUACGACGGGUAGCCGGCCUGAGAGGGUGACCGGCCACACUGGGACUGAGACACGGCCCAGACUACUACGGGAGGCAGCAGUGGGGAAUAUUGCACAAUGGGCGCAAGCCUGACGCAGCAACGCCGCGUGAGGGACGACGGCCUUCGGGUUGUAAACCUCUUUUAGCAGGGAAGAAGCGAAAGUGACGGUACCUGCAGAAAAAGCACCGGCUAACUACGUGCCAGCCGCCGCCGUAAAAC
rnacentral:rRNA from 1 species